UAGAAAAUCUCAGUUAUUGAAGAUUCACAAAUUGUAUUAUCUCCUCAUCCAAUCCCCAGUUCCAGUGAAGCGCUUACUUUGCAUGAUGAGAAAAUCUCAGUUAUUGAAGAUUCACAAAUUGUAAUAUCUCCUCAUCCAAUCCCCAGUUCUAGUGAGGCGCUUACUUUGCAUUAGGGAAUAAAUUAUGAGGAUAUUCAAAGUCCAAGUCUUAUUCAGCUAUACAAAAAGAAGGAACAAAUGACCCAUUUCACUUCAAAUUAUUUAGGAUGACAAAUAUUUUGAUUAAUUUCAUAAUUGCUGUAGGCCCUUGUCAGCCAUGUACAAAUAAAUUUCAAUAUCCUGUUACUCUCAAGAGGAGCAUGAAUAUAACCUAUUAUAGAAAGGUUAAUAUUGAUGGUUCCCUCAACCCCAGAAAUUGGCUAUCUUAUAGCACUACUUUAGACAAAGUCUUUUGUCUAUAUUGUAUUAUGUUUAAUGGCCCUAAGUCCAAUAUUUUUAGACGCAAUUUGGGGUAAAUAAUUGGAAAAACAUAAAGCGUGACUUAGAGAGACACGAAGCAUCUUCUCUUCAUAAAGAUUGUGAAUAUGCAAACAUGACUUGGCUUGCAAAUAAACGCAUUCAAGAUCAUUUGCUAUCAAAUAAGCUUGAUAUAA